rnacentral:tRNA from 1 species
GGGUGUAUAGCUCAAGUGGUAGAGCACAUGCUUAGCAUGCAUAAGGUCCUGGGUUCAAUCCCCAGUACUUCCU